GCCAUCGUGCUGUAACGGUAGCACAUUCGGCACGUAUUCGAGAGGUCCAGGUUUGAAUCCUGGUGAGGGCA
rnacentral:tRNA from 1 species